rnacentral:rRNA from 1 species
GAGUAUUGAUCAUGGUUCAGGACGAACGCUGGCGGCGUGCCUAAUACAUGCAAGUCGAGCGAGCCGAACUAAUUGAUUACCUUCGGGUAUGAAGUUAGGGAAGCGAGCGGCGGAUGGGUGAGUAACACGUGGGUAACCUACCCUAUAGUCUGGGAUACCACUUGGAAACAGGUGCUAAUACCGGAUAAAAGGAGAGAUCACAUGAUUUCUUUUUGAAAGGCGGCGUAAGCUGUCGCUAAAGGAUGGACCUGCGGUGCAUUAGCUAGUUGGUAAGGUAACGGCUUACCAAGGCAACGAUGCAUAGCCGAGUUGAGAAACUGAUCGGCCACAUUGGGACUGAGACACGGCCCAAACUCCUACGGGAGGCAGCAGUAGGGAAUCUUCCACAAUGGACGCAAGUCUGAUGGAGCAACGCCGCGUGAGUGAAGAAGGUUUUCGGAUCGUAAAGCUCUGUUGUUGGUGAAGAAAGAUAGUGAGAGUAACUGCUCAUUAUUUGCCGGUAAUCAACCAGAAAGUCACGGCUAACUACGUGCCAGCAGCCGCGGUAAUACGUAGGUGGCAAGCGUUGUCCGGAUUUAUUGGGCGUAAAGCGAGCGCAGGCGGAAAGAUAAGUCAGAUGUGAAAGCCCUCGGCUUAACCGAGGAAUAGCAUCGGA